rnacentral:lncRNA from 1 species
UUUAAUGCCUAAUACUCCUCAAACAACGCCUCAAAUCAAGGAAAUAUAAUGCAAAAUUAUUUUCUUUUAUACGAAAUAGUUUGCCUUUCAAACCAUUCAGUUUUUAAUGGUACAAUGAAAUGUAGUUUUUUUUUUAAUUCUCAGAGUAGCCCUUGUCAAAAUAGAACUCGCAAUUAACAUGUUGUAGGGCCAAAAUAUUUCUGGAGAAAUUCAGUAACCCUGUGAGCUCAAACCAGCCAACACAACGGCGAGCUCAUCCACGACGAAACGAGCUCAUAGAUCAAGAUAUUGUGUUUCAAUAACGAUUGCGAGUGGCUGGACAGAGGUCCACUGCGAAGUUCUUCACCAUCAAGUCUCGAAUAUAUAGACAAAUUUAGAAUGAUUUGUACAGAAUUCAUAGACAAAUUCCGAAUCAGAUCUCAAAUUCUCACCAUCAGAUCUCGAAUCCACGACAUUUUGCACCAUCACAUCUCAAAUCUACGGCGGUGUACAAAACCGUUCAAGCCAUGAGAAAUUCUGGAGUUCGGAGAUUCAUAAAUAGAGGUUGAAGAUGAUGAUGUUAAUGAAGAUACAUAAGAAUGAUGUAUUUGUUAAGAGAGUUCGGAGAUACAUAGGAAUGAUGUAUCAGGUAGAAAAGGACAAAAAGAUACAUCACGCGAUCCUUCACCAAAUGUACGAAAGAUAUGCAUCUUAUUGAAUAUUAGGUUAUAAAUGCAUAAGAAAGAUGGUUUGAUUGAAAAAAAACAAAAAUCAUGUAUCAGAAUGCUUUUAUUGCUACUAUACAUAACACUCAUGUAUCUGAAUGUAUCUCUAUGAUAUUAAUGCUUAAGAGUUAUGUAUCGAUAAUUAUGUAUCAAAUGGUGAUGUAUGAACGAGUCUUAGCUAUGAGUGGCG